GAAGAAGAAGAAGAAGAAGAUUCCAUAAUAUAAACACUAACAAUGGCUAUUCUUGAAUGUUCAUUGAUCAAGAGAAAGAUAAGGGCAGGAACUAAAAAGUUGACCAAAUUGUUGUAGUUUCAGGAAGUGAAAAACAGAGGAGAGGAGAGGAUAGUAAGGAGACAGAACUACAAAGGACAAAGUCUUUUAAUGAUACUUCACCCCCGUCCGUAGGAGAAAUUAUUCUGCCGUUCAGUGUACCAAGUCAUAAGUAUAAUUUGUUAUACUAAAUCAAAUAAAUAAUAACAUAUUAAUUAUAAAAAGUGAAUA
rnacentral:misc_RNA from 1 species